CCGGCGCCCCGGGCCUCCGCCUUGGCAUCCCUACCCCGUUUUCCUCCCGGCCUCCGCUCUGCGGCAGGUCAGAGGGGCCCGGCGUCUGGGGUCUUCCGGACCAAGGGAAGGAUGCUGGCAGAAGUGGAAGGGUCGGUGCACGCGGGGAGCUGGGACGCGGCGCUGGCGGGUCCGCGGACGCCGAGGCGGGACGUCUCUCCUGCGGACUGCGGGGCUAGGACCGAGCCCCGGGUCUAGGACGGUGGGCGCGAGCAGACCUCCCCUCCCACCACCCAAGAGCCCCAAGGAGAGGGUGGGUGGGUGUGUCGGGGCGCCGGAGCAGAAUAAACCACACCCCCUGACCGGAGCCCGAGAGGAAAGAAGCCCAGCGGAGGGCGUGAGCUGCCUCAGUUUCCUCCAUUAAGGGCAAAGAGGGACCCCCCUCCCUGCUCCAGUCCUGCUGACUCCGCCCCCACCCCGCAAGCUGCGCACCCCCCUUGGAGUAGCCCUGGAAAAAGCAGUUGGGGCGAGAAGAAAUUCCCGGCUAAGCACACACCGCACCCUAACCUCAUUCUGGCCUCAAAGAGCUGCACAGGACCGGCGGUCGUCACACACCUUCCCCCUACCCAUGCUCCCUGUGGCCACUGCCACCAGCGCCAGCCUGGGCAGCCUCAAGGACGCUUUUUUCACCUUUUCCAGAGCCCCUAAUGCUGUAACCCCAGCCUAGACCCAGGCCUUACAUCGCUAGCCCACAGCUGUGCAUGGCAUCCUCUGUAUAAAGCAUC